rnacentral:rRNA from 1 species
AGCAAAUAGAUACCCUGGUAGUCCCAGCCGUAAACGAUGCUCGCUAGGUGUCAGGCAUGGCGCGACCGUGUCUGGUGCCGCAGGGGAAGCCGUGAAGCGAGCCACCUGGGGAAGUACGGCCGCAAGGCUGAAACUUAAAGGAAUUGGCGGGGAGCACAACAACGGUGGAGCCUGCGGUUUAAUUGGACUCAACGCCGGACAACUCACCGGGGGCGACAGCAAUAUGUAGGCCAAGCUGAAGACUUUGCCUGAAUCGCUGAGAGGAGGUGCAUGGCCGUCGCCAGUUCGUACUGUGAAGCAUCCUGUUAAGUUCAGGCAACGAGCGAGACCCGUGCCCACUGUUACCA